CGGGAGGCGGAGCUUGCAGUGAGCCGAGAUCGCGCCACUGCACUCCAGCCUGGGUAACAGAGGGAGACUCUGUUGCAAAAAAGGAAAAGAAAAAAAAAAAAGAGGCUGGAAGUGGUAUGGGAAAAAGAGUAGCAGGAAUGAAGAGGGAGUGCCCACUCUCUGAGAACCAUUUGGUAUAGCUCUGACUGAAAAAUCAUAGUCAUGUUAUACACACUUUAAAAGAUAACUGAUUAAAAUCAAGGAUAUGAUGUGUACUCCAAAUGGAAAACAAAUAGUAAAAUAUAAACUCAGCUGCACCACAAAUGAAAAUCAACCACACUGAAGAGCCAGGGGAAGAAUGGAGUUGAUCUCAGUAAAUUUGGGAAACAAUGUUUCCACUGGAUACUGUUAGGCUAAAAAUGAAAAUACCUAUACACCAACACUAUACUCUAGUUCAAAAAUCUAGUUCUCAUGGCUUAGCCAUCUGUACCUACUAUAUGUGAAUAUUGCAAUUGAGCAAAUGAGUGAAUUAAUUGUAGAUGAGCUAGGUUUCUCUCUGUCAGCGAAAAAAGUUACGUCAAGGGUAAAGGAAGCGGCUAGAAUGAACAUUGUGCUGGUUGGAAUCAGAAGUGUCAGUAUAGGCUGGGCGCAGUGGCUCAUGCCUGUAAUCCCAGCACUUUGGGAGGCCAAGGUGGGUGGAUCAUGACGUCAGGAGAUCGAGACCAUCCUGGCUAACACAGUGAAACCCUGUCUCUACUAAAAACAAAAAAAAAAUUAGCUGGGCGUGGUUGUGGGCGCCUGUAGUCCCAGCUACUCGGGAGGC
rnacentral:lncRNA from 10 species